UGGUUCGUCUACGACUCGUCUGAAAUGCUUGAGUGUACCCCGCUUUGCGGCGUAUUCGGUGUGAUACAUCUUCACCGGAGUUGAUCCUUUUGGGUCGCGUCUGUAAUGGUGUGGCUCUAUGCUUCCAACCGUCUCUCCUUUUGUGAGACAAUCUCUGACAAUUUGACCUCAAAUCGGGUGGGACUACCCGCUGAACUUAA
rnacentral:misc_RNA from 1 species